rnacentral:rRNA from 1 species
UUGUCUCAAAGAUUAAGCCAUGCAUGUCUCAGUACAAGCCGCAUUAAGGUGAAACCGCGAAAGGCUCAUUAAAUCAGUUAUGGUUCCUUAGAUCGUACCCACAUUUACUUGGAUAACUGUGGUAAUUCUAGAGCUAAUACAUGCAAACAGAGCUCCGACCGGAGACGGGAGGAGUGCUUUUAUUAGAUCAAAACCAAUCGGCGGCGGGCGCGUCCGCGCGCCCGUUCGCCGCUCAACCUGGUGACUCUGAAUAACUUUGUGCUGAUCGCACGGUCUCGCACCGGCGACGCAUCUUUCAAAUGUCUGCCUUAUCAACUGUCGAUGGUAGGUUCUGCGCCUACCAUGGUCGUAACGGGUAACGGGGAAUCAGGGUUCGAUUCCGGAGAGGGAGCCUGAGAAACGGCUACCACAUCCAAGGAAGGCAGCAGGCGCGCAAAUUACCCACUCCCGGCACGGGGAGGUAGUGACGAAAAAUAACGAUACGGGACUCAUCCGAGGCCCCGUAAUCGGAAUGAGUACACUUUAAAUCCUUUAACGAUGAUCAAUUGGAGGGCAAGCCUGGUGCCAGCAGCCGCGGUAAUUCCAGNUCCAA